UACGUAGGGGGCUAGCGUUGUCCGGAAUCAUUGGGCGUAAAGAGCGCGUAGGCGGCCAGAUAAGUCCGGUGUGAAAGUCAAAGGCUCAACCUUUGAAUGCCGCUGGAAACUGUCUGGCUAGAGUCCGGGAGGGGCGAGUGGAAUUCCUGGUGUAGCGGUGUAAUGCGCAGAUAUCAGGAGGAACACCAAUGGCGAAGGCAGCUCGCUGGAACGGUACUGACGCUGAGGCGCGAAAGCGUGGGGAGCAAACAGG
rnacentral:rRNA from 1 species